rnacentral:rRNA from 1 species
GAUGAACGCUGGCGGCGUGCCUAAUACAUGCAAGUCGAGCGGACCUCUUCGGAGGUCAGCGGCGGACGGGUGAGUAACACGUGGGCAACCUGCCUGUAAGACUGGGAUAACUCCGGGAAACCGGAGCUAAUACCGGAUACUAUGUCAAACCGCAUGGUUUGACAUUCAAAGACGGUUUCGGCUGUCACUUACAGAUGGGCCCGCGGCGCAUUAGCUAGUUGGUGAGGUAACGGCUCACCAAGGCGACGAUGCGUAGCCGACCUGAGAGGGUGAUCGGCCACACUGGGACUGAGACACGGCCCAGACUCCUACGGGAGGCAGCAGUAGGGAAUCUUCCGCAAUGGACGAAAGUCUGACGGAGCAACGCCGCGUGAGUGAUGAAGGUUUUCGGAUCGUAAAACUCUGUUGUCAGGGAAGAACAAGUGCCGGAGUAACUGCCGGCGCCUUGACGGUACCUGACCAGAAAGCCACGGCUAACUACGUGCCAGCAGCCGCCGUAA